rnacentral:rRNA from 1 species
UCCUACGGGAGGCAGCAGUGGGGAAUAUUGCGCAAUGGGAGAAAUCCUGACGCAGCGAUACCGCGUGGGUGAAGAAGGUCUUCGGAUUGUAAAGCCCUUUCAGCAGGAAAGAUGAUGACGGUACCUGCAGAAGAAGCCCCGGCUAACUCCGUGCCAGCAGCCGCGGUAAUACGGAGGGGGCGAGCGUUGUUCGGAAUGACUGGGCGUAAAGGGCGCGUAGGCUGCUCUGCAAGUCAGGAGUGAAAUCCCUUGGCUCAACCGAGGAAUUGCUUUUGAAACUACGGAGCUGGAGGCCGGCAGAGGGUGGCGGAAUUCCCCGUGUAGAGGUGAAAUUCGUAGAUAUGGGGAGGAACACCAGAGGCGAAGGCGGCUGCCUGGACCGGAUCUGACGCUGAGGCGCGAAAGCGUGGGGAGCAAACAGGAUUAGAUACCCUGGUAGUCCACGCUGUAAACGAUGAGUGCUAGUUGUCGCGGGUAUCGRCACCCUGCGGCAACUCAGCNAACGCGAUNNNCACUCCKCCUGGGAUACGCCGCA